rnacentral:misc_RNA from 1 species
GAAAUGCGAUAAUUAAUGUGAAUUGCAGAAUUCAGUGAAUCAUCGAGUCUUUGAACGCACAUUGCGCCUCCUGGUAUUCCGGGGGGCAUGCCUGUCCGAGCGUCAUUGCUGCCCUCAAGCACGGCUUGUGUGUUGGGCUUCCGUCCCUGGCAACGGGGACGGGCCCAAAAGGCAGUGGCGGCACCAUGUCUGGUCCUCGAGCGUAUGGGGCUUUGUCACCCGCUCCCGUAGGUCCAGCUGGCAGCUAGCCUCGCAACCAAUCUUUUUAACCAGGUUGACCUCGGAUCAGGUAGGGAUACCCGCUGAACUUGAGC